AGCGGCGGACGGGUGAGUAACGCGUGGGUAACCUGCCCUGUACACACGGAUAACAUACCGAAAGGUAUGCUAAUACGGGAUAACAUAAGAGAGUCGCAUGGCUAUCUUAUCAAAGCUUUUGCGGUACAGGAUGGACCCGCGUCUGAUUAGCUAGUUGGUAAGGUAACGGCUUACCAAGGCGACGAUUAGUAGCCGACCUGAGAGGGUGAUCGGCCACAUUGGAACUGAGACACGGUCCAAACUCCUACGGGAGGCAGCAGUGGGGAAUAUUGCACAAUGGGCGAAAGCCUGAUGCAGCAACGCCGCGUGGGCGAUGAAGGCCUUCGGGUCGUAAAGCUCUGUCCUCAAGGAAGAUAAUGACGGUACUUGAGGAGGAAGCCCCGGCUAACUACGUGCCAGCCGCCGCGGUAAUACGUAGGGGGCUAGCGUUAUCCGGAAUUACUGGGCGUAAAGGGUGCGUAGGCGGUCUUUCAAGUCAGAAGUGAAAGGCUACGGCUCAACCGUAGUAAGCUUUUGAAACUGUAAGACUUGAGUGCAGGAGAGGAGAGUGGAAUUCCUAGUGUAGCGGUGAAAUGCGUAGAUAUUAGGAGGAACACCAGUUGCGAAGGCGGCUCUCUGGACUG
rnacentral:rRNA from 1 species